UACGUAGGGACCAAGCGUUGUUCGGAUUUACUGGGCGUAAAGGGCGCGUAGGCGGCAAUUCAAGUCAUCUGUGAAAUCUCCGGGCUUAACUCGGAAAGGUCAAGUGAUACUGUCGGACUAGAGUACAGAAGGGGCAACUGGAAUUCUCUGUGUAGCGGUGAAAUGCGUAGAUAUCGAGAGGAACACCUGCGGCGAAGGCGGGUUGCUGGGCUGAUACUGACGCUGAGGCGCGAAAGCGUGGGGAGCAAACAGG
rnacentral:rRNA from 1 species